AAACAAAACAAACAAAACUUUCAACAACGGAUCUCUUGGCUCUGGCAUCGAUGAAGAACGCAGCAAAAUGCGAUACGUAAUGGGAAUUGCAGUGAAUCAUCGAAUCUUUGAACGCACAUUGCACCCAGUGGUAUUCCACUGGGUAUGCGGAGGUGAGCGCCUUA
rnacentral:rRNA from 1 species